rnacentral:misc_RNA from 1 species
GUAGGUGAACCUGCGGAAGGAUCAUUAUCGAAUUAUAAGCGAGGGUUGUCGCUGGCCUCGAAAGGGGCAUGUGCACGCCCGAGCUCUUAAAUCCACAACACACCUGUGAACCCACCGUAGGCCUUCGGGCUUAUGUAUCAUAUACUCUGAAUGUGUCAUAGAACGUUCAUGUUGCCUUAAAACGCAAUCAAAUACAACUUUCAACAACGGAUCUCUUGGCUCUC